rnacentral:rRNA from 1 species
AGAGUUUGAUCCUGGCUCAGGACUAACGCUGGCGGCGUGUAUAACACAUGCAAGUUGAGCGCGAAAGCCUUCUUCGGAAGGCGAGUAGAGCAGCGAACGGGUGAGUAACGCGUAGGCAACCUGCCUUAUAGACAGGGAUAGCGUCGGGAAACUGGCGGUAAUACCUGAUAUUACCUUAUUUUCGCAUGGGAAAUAGGUGAAACCGGGGGACCUUUCGAGGCCUCGGGCUAUAAGAUGGGCCUGCGUACUAUUAGCUAGUUGGUGAGGUAACGGCUCACCAAGGCGAUGAUGGUUAGCCGACCUGAGAGGGUGAUCGGCCACAUCGGGACUGAGAUACGGCCCGGACUCCUACGGGAGGCAGCAGUGAGGAAUCUUGGGCAAUGGACGCAAGUCUGACCCAGCAACGCCGCGUGAAUGAUGAAGGCCUUUGGGUCGUAAAGUUCUGUCAAGAGGGAAGAAACCUGAAUAGGCGAAUAGGUUAUUCAGCUGACGGUACCUCUGGAGGAAGCCCCGGCUAAUUACGUGCCAGCAGCCGCGGUAAUACGUAAGGGGCAAGCGUUGUCCGGAAUUAUUGGGCGUAAAGCGCGUGUAGGCAGUUAGGACAGUCAGAUGUGAAAUCCCGAGGCUCAACCUCGGAACUGCAUUUGAUACUGCCUGACUAGAGUGCAGGAGAGGUAAGUGGAAUUCCUAGUGUAGCGGUGAAAUGCAUAGAUAUUAGGAAGAACAUCGGUGGCGAAGGCGGCUUACUGGCCUGUAACUGACGCUGAGACGCGAAAGCGUGGGGAGCGAACGGGAUUAGAUACCCCGGUAGUCCACGCCGUAAACGAUGGAUACUAGGUGUAGGGGGUAUCGACCCCCUCUGUGCCGGAGUUAACGCAUUAAGUAUCCCGCCUGGGAAGUACGAGCGCAAGCUUAAAACUCAAAGGAAUUGACGGGGGCCCGCACAAGCGGUGGAGCAUGUGGUUUAAUUCGAUGAUACGCGAAAAACCUUACCUGGGUUUGACAUCCCCUGACCGUCUGUGAAAGCAGAUUUUCCCUUCGGGGACAGGGUGACAGGUGCUGCAUGGUUGUCGUCAGCUCGUGUCGUGAGAUGUUGGGUUAAGUCCCGCAACGAGCGCAACCCUUGUCGUUAUUUGCCAGCGGGUAAUGCCGGGAACUUUAACGAGACUGCCAGUGAUAAGCUGGAGGAAGGUGGGGAUGACGUCAAAUCAUCAUGGCCUUUAUAUCCAGGGCUACACACGUGCUACAAUGGCUGGUACAGAGGGUCGCGAUACCGUAAGGUGGAGCCAAUCCCAAAAAACCAGUCUCAGUUCGGAUUGUGGGCUGAAACUCGCCCACAUGAAGCUGGAAUCGCUAGUAAUCGCGGAUCAGCAUGCCGCGGUGAAUACGUUCUCGGGCCUUGUACACACCGCCCGUCACACCAUCCGAGUUGGGUGCACCAGACGUCGCUGCAGCAACCCGCAAGGGAGCAAGGUGCCUAAGGUGUGCUUGGUAAGGAGGGUGAAGUCGUAACAAGGUA